rnacentral:lncRNA from 1 species
AGGGGAAGCGCUUUUUUGUUGCUUCUCUGUGUUUUCUAUUUUAUUUUAUUUAUUUUAUUUUUAGAUUUUCAGUUCUUAUUUCACCCAGGGAAGGAGACCUGGGUAUCCACCCCAUGUCCUCCAGAGAACUUCCCUGGCCCCGCUCGGAGUCUUCCUGGGACGCCACAGGCUCGGAGAGCGCUCCGCAGGUUUCUCCCCCGGCGCCUCCAAAUCUUUCGAUUCCUACUCGAAUUACUCCGUCAGCUGCUGGAAGAGGGGCAAGGGGUAUGGCGAGACGCGUUGGUACAUGGGGCACUGGGGGGAAGGGAAAGCCUCCCUCCUUCUCCUAGUAAUUCGAGAAUGUUGCGUCCGCCUCCUUUCUUUUGCUGGCGCUAGGGGCUCGGACCAGCACCUGCCAGGCAUAGGUGUGGCCACUGGGGCGAAACCUGGCAGGCUCUGGAAACAGCGUUUUACUGACAGGAAAGAGAAACUGUUCUUUGUAUUCAUCACCCACCGCAGACUUCCUCACGCCCGGGUCUUAGGCGGGGCUGUCAGAUUUCAGUGUGUUUCUCUUAAUUCUAGUACUAAAUUUGUACUGGGCGCUGGCGAAGGGCCUGGCUCCGCCACGCGCGGCCCUCUCGAACUGCCCGUGGGUACGGCGCGCGCUGCUGCCCUGUGUGGCCUGUGCGGGGAACCCGAGGGCCGAAGUGGGCCCCGCCGCAGCACAGGGGGACAAGAGAACCAGGAGCGGGCUGCCUGGGGGCAGAUUCGAACCCGUGCUCCCAGCGGAUAGAAGUAGCACUUGGGGACUCCUAAAAUAUUCAGCCCAAUCCUGAUUCCAGCUGCCCUCUCUAGGCACCUUUCCUCUACCCUUCUUCCAGUUUACAAUUCUGGGCUCGAGGUCUCAGUGGACAGAGCUGAAGAAAAGCCGUCUAUGGAGCCUGCGCCAGGCGCAGACUGGGUCGUCGCAGUCUGGGUCGUCGCAGUCUGGGCCGGGGCGCUGGAAGUCUUACUCACUUCUCAAGAACCCGCAAGGGAUCAGGCCUGACCCUUUGCAAGUGACAGAAUCCAAAGCUUUGAGCUCAUGGGAAAGUGGCUGGAAAGAAGGUCACUGUAGGGCCGCACAGGUCUCUGGCGAGGCUACCCAAGAACAUUUAAAUCCCUGCCCAGAGAAGAAGAGGCUCCAGCUGUCCUGCACCUUCCUGGGAACUGGCAGUCCCUCCGCGCAGGGGUUCUGCAGCGACCGGCAGCGCGAGGAGACAAGGAUGGUGGCCAGUUAACAGAAAAUCAAGGCAGCGGGAAAGGGAGGAAUGGCCUACAGGGGCCAUGCAGGGGCUGCAUGGAGGAAUUGGUCAGUACACACAGAAGUGGAUGGCACUGGGCCAGGCACAGUGGCUCACACCUGUAAUCCCAGCACUUUGGGAAGCUGAGGUGGGUGGAUCGCCUGAGCCCAGGAGUUCGAGACCAGUCAAGACAACAUGACAAAACUCCACGUCUACUAAAAAUACAAAAACUAGCUGGGCAUGGUGGCAUGUGCCUGUAAUCCCAGCUACUUGGGAGGCUGAGGCAGGAGAAUCGCUUGAGGUGGAGGUUGCAGUGAGCCAAGAUAGUGCCCCUACACUCCAGCCUGGGUGACAGAGUGAGACUUUGUCUCAAAUAAAUAAAUAAAUAAGAAGUGGACUGCUGUGGUGUGAGAAUGCACCUGACAGACCUCCAAUUAUGGAGAGCUUACACAGCCAAGGGCCCCAACUGCUGCUCUCUGAAACUCAUCCUGCUUUUGUGCUGAGGCCACACUUCCCACAGGCUGCUCCAGCCAGUGACCAAGCACAGCAUGGACACUAAGACAGGCCCAUUCUGGGAGACGUGGGACUCCUCUGAUGGCCAACUUUGACUUGGGGACUCCCUGAUGGCCUUGCCAAACCUUUUUGAUAAAGCACUUUGGUCUAGGAAGCUUCUACCCGACCUUCCUUCCUCUCUCCUUCACUCAGGGUCAGACUUAUAAUGUGAUCUGACAGUUCCCCCAGCAUUUCCUGGCUCUUUCUCCUUUCCUUUCACAGGUGUUUCUC